GACGAACGCUGGCGGCGUGCUUUACACAUGCAAGUCGAGCGAUGAGAUCCCUUCGGGGAAGGAUUAGCGGCGAACGGGUGAGGAACACGUGAGGAAUCUGCCUUCAACACUGGGAUAACUCCGGGAAACCGGGGCUAAUACCGGAUACGAGACCUGCAGGCAUCUGCGGGUCUGGAAAGUUUUUCGGUUGAAGAUGACCUCGCGGCCUAUCAGCUUGUUGGUGAGGUAAUGGCUCACCAAGGCGACGACGGGUAGCCGGCCUGAGAGGGCGACCGGUCACACUGGGACUGAGACACGGCCCAGACUCCUACGGGAGGCAGCAGUGGGGAAUAUUGGGCAAUGGAGGAAACUCUGACCCAGCGACGCCGCGUGCGGGAUGAAGGCCUUCGGGUUGUAAACCGCUUUCAGCAAGGAAGAAGCGAAAGUGACGGUACUUGCAGAAGAAGCACCGGCUAACUAUGUGCCAGCAGCCGCGGUAAUACAUAGGGUGCAAGCGUUGUCCGGAAUUAUUGGGCGUAAAGAGCUCGUAGGUGGUUCGUCACGUCGGAUGUGAAAAUCUGGGGCUUAACCCCAGACCUGCAUUCGAUACGGGCGAGCUAGAGUGUGGUAGGGGAGACUGGAAUUCCUGGUGUAGCGGUGGAAUGCGCAGAUAUCAGGAGGAACACCAAUGGCGAAGGCAGGUCUCUGGGCCAUUACUGACACUGAGGAGCGAAAGCGUGGGGAGCGAACAGGAUUAGAUACCCUGGUAGUCCACGCCGUAAACGGUGGGCACUAGUUGUGGGAACCUUCCACGGUUUCUGCGACGCAGCUAACGCAUUAAGUGCCCCGCCUGGGGAGUACGAUCGCAAGAUUA
rnacentral:rRNA from 1 species